rnacentral:rRNA from 1 species
AUGCUCUGUAUUGGGGAAGGAGGCGGUGCACCGAAGGGGGUCGAGGGUGAGGGAGGCUGCAGAGGCGAGAGGGAGGAGUGGGGAUCGGGCAGAGCUGCAGUUCUCUCUCUGGCAGCGCAUAGGAGAGAGAAAAGAGAUCGAGAGAGAGGUGGCGGCGCUGCGGGAGGGAGGAAAGAGAUCGAGAGAGAGUUAGGGUUGGAAGGGGUGGUUGGGCCGGCCUGGGACCAUGAAGCAAGAUGGGCCGGGGCUGCAAUGAAGGAUGGCCUAGCUGGGCCUAAACGACCUGGUGGGCCGGUAUCUCUUCCCUCUCAUAACUCUUUAGGAGAAAAUGAUUAA